rnacentral:rRNA from 1 species
GGACUACUGGGGUAUCUAAUCCUGUUUGCUCCCCUAGCUUUCGUCCCUCAGCGUCAGUUGUGAUCCAGCGAGCCGCCUUCGCCUCGGAUGUUCCUACGGAUAUCUACGCAUUUCACCGCUACACCCGUAAUUCCACUCGCCUCUCUCACACUCUAGCACAGCAGUUUCGUUAGCAGCCUCUGCGUUAAGCGCAGAGAUUUCACUAUCGACUUGCUACACCGCCUACGGACCCUUUACGCCCAGUAAUUCCGAGCAACGCUGGCCCCCUACGUAUUACCGCGGCUGCUGGCAC